UACGUAGGCAGCGAGCGUUGUUCGGAGUUACUGGGCGUAAAGGGUGUGUAGGCGGUCCCUUAAGUUUGGUGUGAAAUCUCCCGGCUACAACUGGGAGGGUGCGCCGGAUACUGAGGGGCUAGAGUGCGGGAAGGGAAAGUGGAAUUCCUGGUGUAGCGGUGAAAUGCGCAGAUAUCAGGAGGAACACCCGUGGCGAAGGCGGCUCUCUGGGUCGGACCUGACGCUGAGGCGCGAAAGCGUGGGGAGCGAACGGG
rnacentral:rRNA from 1 species